GAAAGAUGAACAAGGACCUGGAGGAGGUGAGACAAGCUAUCUGAAAGAAGGGUGGUCCAAUGCAGGCCACAAGAGCAGCAUCAGAUGCUAUGUGUGAAGACCCUGGUCAGGGGAAGAGCUGUCUACCUAUAGGAUUUUGUCAUCAUAACCUUGACCCCAGUACCUCAGCACUUCAUAAAAGGCACAAGUUGUCUUUCUAUGUUUUCAUUUCUGCAGCAUCUAUCUUGCAUUAACCACAUCCGGGGUCAUGUCUGGAAGGGCCGGAAGUGAUUCAAUCAAAAACCAAAAGGGUCCAAAUUGACGUUGCAUUCUCUGCUUUCCAGAUUUAAAAAAGGAAACAAAAUGAAGCACCUGUCAGUUGCCCAGUGUUUUCUUCAGCAUGUCCUGUCUGCAGGCUGCACCGUGACGGGCCAUUGUUCUUCACUUUCCCCUUGGUUGUACUAGAACAGCAUCGUCUCCUCCCUGCUAUGAAAUGUAUGCUUUCACUGACAUUUAGAAAUGGCUUUGAAUGCUUCAGAUGAACAGCUCUCUAGAUGUGCAAGAAGGUUCAAUUAUUCUGCCUAAGAAAAUAAGUUUUCAGAGAUGCUUUUCAGCAUCAGGAGGCCUCGGCUGAGACAGGAAUUUUGUCAGGUCCAACAGAGGACACAAGGAGAAGAAACAAAAUGUAGCCAAAGCAUAUAGCAUUUGGAGCCAGAGAGCCUGGCUUGCAGCCCUCACCAUGAUGCACGAGUUGAAGCAGACAAUGUCCAGAAGCAAUGUGUACAUUCACUGUCCAGACCCAAGAUUCAAGAAGGUCCACAGAGUUUCCAAACAUGGAAAGAGAUGGGUGAGGAAGAAAGCAAAGGCUGGCAUCACACGUGAACGCUUACGAGUGCUGCUCCUGAGGAAGUUCAGACAAAGCCAAUGGGAAAGGCUGCCAUUUCCUUGUCAGGGUUAUUUCUUCCUUCAUAGAACUGGUGGUGUCUGGGUCUCAGGUGGCUCAAUGCUGAGCUUGUCACUACUCACAGUAUGUUUUCUCCCAAGACACUGCCAUACUGUCAAGCUAAUGAAGUUGAUGAAUAAAACUGUACAUUUCCAGAGAAAGGCUGUGUUCACCAAGACUGGACCACACAAUUCUGUACAACAGAGCUGCCUUGUUGUAGACGACCAACCUGGAGACUCUCUGAGUCAGACGCUUGCUUGUUAAGGAUGGGUUCUUAUGAAGAAGAAGAAUCCCACAAAUCAGAUGUUGAGUUGCAUCAGGUACUCUAUCUACCAUCCUUGGGUCUAAACACUGAUGCCCUCCCUCUCCAAGACCAUGCUGGUAUGGGCAUUAACAACAUUCCUGUCUGUGAUACUCUUUAUUGAUAUCAUUCUGUCUCCAGCCUAGAACUUUUUUUUUUUUUUUUUUUUUUUUUUUUUUUUUUUUUUUUUUUUUUGGUGUGGUGCUGGGGACCUUGAACACAUAACAAGUAGUCUACUACUGGGCUUUACGCUCAGUCCUCUAUUUCAGUUCCUAACAUAGCUUGAUUAUUGUGGCAGUUGCCCACACUGGCUGAAACAUUGGGUUCUCAAAAUGUGACACUCUAAUGACUUUACCAAUUCCAUGUUUACUGAGUAGACAGCUCUGCUUUCUAAACUUCAAAAUUCAGUCCCCAGGCUUUUUUGACUGCCUUACCUACAAGGUAGAGUUAAUGGGUAUACUGGGCACAGAAUUUAGUGCUGGGAAGGAGUGCAGAGGUUCAGGCUUUGCCUCCAAUUUACUUGGUUGAUGUAGCUGCAGAUUUAUCAAGUGACUUCAUAACCUUUAGGAAACUAGUGUCUUUAUAUUAAUGACUGAAUUGGCCACAGCAUCAGGGAAAUUAAGAACCAUGUUUGCAGCUCUUUCUGACAACAGGGUAAGAUCAUAUGGCAUAUGUUAACUGUGCCGAUCAGAGAAUGUCUGGCUUUUGCCUUUUCUGUGGUUUUGUUUCUCUUGUUACAAUCUGUGCAAUUGUUUUCUACUUUUGCAAAGUGUUCACACAAGCUUUGUUGCAUAAAAGGAACUCUGAGCACAACAAUGUAGACAUGCCUGCUGGCAAUAAAUGUCUAUAUAUUAAAGGAAAAUAGCUGCA
rnacentral:lncRNA from 1 species